rnacentral:misc_RNA from 1 species
AAAUGAAUAACUUCCGUGGCAGAACUUGCAAUCACGCGAAACUAAAAAUCACAGGAACAAAACUUGCCUUUAUUGGACUUCUUCCCGGUUUCGUACUCUGCAGCGAUUGCUAGUAUUGCAAAACGCAGAAAAGAUGCCGGAGGAGACCAAUUCCAUAGACUACGUCAUGGAGAAGGCAUCGGGCCCUCACUUCUCCGGCCUACGGCUCGACGGCCUCCUCUCAUCUCGGCCUUCCUCCGCUACUAAUACACCAGCUCACCGCACUUCUUCCGCUUCUGUUUCUGCUUCUCCUCUUGCUCCUAAACAGCCCUUUGUCAUCGGAGUAUCUGGAGGCACUGCUUCGGGUAAGACUACAGUAUGUGACAUGAUCAUUCAACAGCUUCACGAUCACCGGGUUGUGCUUGUCAAUCAGGAUUCAUUUUACCGUGGUUUGACACCUGCAGAAUUGGAACGUGUCCAUGAGUAUAAUUUUGACCAUCCUGAUGCAUUUGACACUGACCAGCUUGUAGACUGCAUUCAAAAGCUCAGAAGUGGACAACCUUAUCAAGUUCCAAUUUAUGAUUUUAAAAGCCAUCGUCGUUGUUCAGAUAGUUUUAGGCAGGUAAAUGCUUCUGAUGUAAUUAUCUUGGAAGGAAUUCUGGUUUUCCAUGACCAGCGUGUCCGCAACCUGAUGAAUAUGAAGAUUUUUGUUGACACAGAUGCGGAUGUAAGGCUUGCUCGGAGAAUAAGGCGUGACACAGUUGAGAGGGGUAGGGACAUAAACUCUGUUCUUGAGCAGUAUGCAAAAUUUGUGAAGCCGGCUUUUGAUGAUUUUGUGUUGCCAUCAAAGAAGUACGCAGAUGUGAUCAUACCCCGGGGAGGUGAUAAUCAUGUUGCCAUUGAUUUGAUAGUACAACAUAUCCGCACAAAACUUGGUCAACAUGAUCUUUGCAAAAUAUAUCCAAAUGUUUAUGUUAUUCAGUCAACAUUUCAGAUAAGAGGUAUGCAUACAUUGAUUCGAGACAAGGAUAUAUCAAAGCAUGAUUUUGUAUUUUAUUCAGAUCGGCUUAUCCGUUUGGUUGUGGAGCAUGGUCUUGGACAUUUGCCAUUCACAGAGAAGCAAGUAAUUACGCCAACAGGAUCUGUGUACACUGGGGUUGACUUUUGCAAGAAACUAUGUGGGAUUUCCAUUGUUCGUAGUGGAGAAAGCAUGGAAAAUGCACUGCGUGCAUGUUGCAAAGGAAUAAAAAUUGGAAAAAUUCUUAUUCAUCGUGAUGGAGACAAUGGGAAACAGCUUAUAUAUGAGAAGCUUCCCAAGGAUAUUCCAGAAAGACAUGUCCUACUUCUAGAUCCUGUUCUUGCUACAGGUAACUCUGCCAACCAAGCAAUAGAACUACUCAUACAGAAAGGAGUUCCAGAAUCACACAUUAUAUUCCUAAACCUAAUCUCUGCUCCUGAGGGUAUCCAUUGCGUUUGCAAAAGGUUCCCAUCCUUGAAAAUUGUCACCUCAGAGAUUGAUGCUGCAUUAAAUGAAGAGUUUCGAGUCAUACCAGGUAUGGGCGAGUUUGGCGAUCGGUACUUUGGCACCGAUGACUAAUCCGUUAUAAGGCAAACAGAAAUAAUGACCAAUUAAUUAAUGUGCAAGUGUCUUGAACUAGCUUCUUGUCUGAGAAAAUGAAGAGAUAAGUUAUUCAGCUUAUCUUAUGCUAGACAUUUGCCUGCACAAGGCUCCGGUUUUUUAGUUAUUAAACUGUUAUUAUGUAAACUAUAAGAUAAACUAUAAGAUGUCGCGUUAUUAUGUUAAUUGCAAUUUCAAAUGUUUAUACUUAUUGGCUUCAAAUUAAAGAAUUUUGCUUGCAGCUG